AAACAAAACAAAAUCUGUAAGUGAAUGGUUAAAGAAGAAUUAAAGGGGUCAUGAACUGAGAAAUCAACGUUCCCUUGAUCCUUUGACAGAUAAGAGGUCAUUGUGCUAUAAUAACGAGUGGUAUAUUUCGGAAGUCAAAACUUUCCUAUUAGUCUAAUAACCAGCUUAUAUUAGCACCCCUUUAGUUACAGAACAAAAAAUACAGUACUAAAGUACUGGGAAGAUUUUGCGCAAACUAUUUUCCAGUACCAUUUAAAGGGCUGCAUUCGCACCUACAUUGAGUAUUAGACCAUGACAUAAGCCACUCAACAGCAGUGUCAUUUGUGUGUGCCGUUCAACAAGAUAUUCAAAGAAGAAUAUUGUUAACAACAGGAGGAUGUUGGACACUGUGAUUGGAGCUUUGCUUUUGUUGUUUCACAGGUUUCACAAUAACGGACAUGGAAUAUCGACAUAUACGUCAAGUGAUUGAAAGAACGGAAAGGAUGACUAAGAAUCUCCAAUGUUAACUGGCAGUGCUGCAUGUCAUUGAGGCUGAUAGAAGCAGAAAACGCUGUGGACGAAGUCUUCAAGGUAAAUGCCAUUUAUAAAAUAAAUAAAUCCUCCAAACGGAGUUCCUGGAACUAAAGUCGUUCCUAGUUCCUGCUGUGCGAACACGCCAAAAAGUGGGUAGUUCCACAAUUAGUUUGGGUACUACAAAAUGCCCUAUUGAAGCCAAUCUGCCCAAACAAAAGGUUAUAGAACAUGCCACUCUGUGAUUUAAUAGUGUGGCUAAACACAGCCUCUGCAGAAGAAGAUCAAUGCCUGCCUCUAGAUUGCUGCUUGUUUAGCCCCGCCCACCGACCCAAACACAUAGUGUAUAUAAUGAGAGGCAAACUCACAGGUAUAUGCAGAAACCAAACAAUAAACAUGCUCUGAAAAGAAGCUCUGAAAACAUGACACUGUGCAGUGCCAAUUUGUCAAAAACUUUGCCUUGCCUUUCUUUCAAUUUAGACUGAAACUAAAAGACAAUGCUGUGCCGACUAUAUUGGAUCCGACAUUUGCAACGCAAGUGUAACUGUUUUAUUACGUGAUCACUUUUGCUUUGUCUGUUAUUAUAGAUAAUUUGAUAUGUACAGAGUAUUUAAUGCAAAAAUAGUAGCGGGUUUUAACUUACGAGUCUAUUUUUUUUUCUUUUUUACAGAAUAUCUUUGUAAUAUGUGUACUGUGUAUAUUUAUUUUGUAUAUAAAUACCAACAUGCAUAAAUACAAGGGAAAUUUUAUAUUUGUAUAUCAUUUAUUUAUAUAGAACAUUUAUUUAUAUAGAAUAUAAAUUAUAUAAAUAUAUACAUGUAAAUACAUAUAAACUUUUCACAAUAUGUGACAGCACGUGACAUUUUAUAUCUAAAUGAAAACUAACUUUUAUAUCUGUAAUAUUAAGUAUAUCUGGGUCUUAAGUUGCACCAAUGAACAAUGAACCUGGCAGCAGUGACGUGGUACUGGUCACAGUGGAUCUGUCACUGGUCCAAUCCUAUCUAAAACUAUCAGAAAGUUCUGAGUUUACAAGUUAUAGUUGUUCAGGAGCACGUGAGGGCUUUGGGGUUGAUAAGAGUAGAAUAUCACUUUGUAAUCUCAUAAUUAUGGCAUGGCGUAAAGGCAGCAUUUUUUGCCUUUAUGAAUCUGUUAUGGCCUUGGGUUGAGUAGAUAGACUUGACUUUUUGACAUGUGGUACAAUAUAUGAUCCAUAUUGCAGCAGAAUUUAUAUUUGUCUAUUAGGGACUGAUUAUUUCACUUAAAAAAAGAUGAAUAUACAGUUCUGUUUGUAUCCAGGUUAUUUGUUAUACUAAAUGCCUUAAACUAAAUCUUAAUUGUUCCGUAUUAAGCACUCGUAGCAUCAACCCUGUAUCUUGUAAAAACAACUUCAUUUACAGUAACACUUCAUCUGUUACUGUUAUCUGGUUUUUUUAUGCAUGCUAAAACAUCUGUUAAAAAAUCUCAUAUCUUGCAAUGUAUACAUUGACUUCUCAAAGCACAUCACAGUUGUUUGACAUUUUCUGAAUGAAAGGAACAACAAAUUGGUUUUGGACACCGUUUUCAAAAAACGAAAAAACGAAAACAACAAAAACCAAACCCUAAAAACUGGAUACUUCUGUUAAUACAAAUUGUACAAUCUGGAAAAAUCUAGAAAAUGUAUAAUAAUAUUGAAGCAGUAAAAGAUCAAGAUGUUACAUGAACUAAGAGCAGAAUAUAAUCAGAUCGAUG